AUAAUCCUAUAUCCGAUUCAAAUUCCUUCAAACAUUACACCUAUACUCCUGAUAUUUUCUAAUACAUCGAUAUUCAUUUCAACGCAUAAAAGAUCAAUCUUCAUUCUUACACAUAGAAAAACGAUCUUCAUUUACACAUACGAGAUCUAACAAGUUCAUUUUUCUUUUUAAUCAAUACAAACACCGCAACAAAUCUCAUUUCCUCCAAAUCAUAUAUCCGGUUCAAAUUCCUUAACAAAUAUCACACAUAUACAAAUUCCUAUAUCUUCUAAUACAUAAAACCUCAUCUUAUAUAAAAAACAAAAAUGGAAAGCAAAAAGAAGUACGAGAGGUUUGUCCGGCAGCGUAUCAUGCAUCUGAUAAAAAGGACUAUCAUCUCCCUUAGCCACAUCCUUCAAAUCCUCCUCCGUCAGCUCAAAUAGACCAUCUUCAUCGUGAAUUCUUCCUAUUUCUUUCUUUGCCGAUGAAAAAAUAAACAAUUUACAAAGGUUCCGGUAGGGUUCUGACAAUCAAAAG
rnacentral:lncRNA from 1 species